rnacentral:lncRNA from 1 species
UUCACUUUGUUUAGAUGUAAGUGAUGAAGUAAUUCCUUCUGAAAAGAUGUUAAUUCUGAAAUAUAAGAAAAAUAGCAUGCAAAUGAACUGUCAUUUAGGAUAUUAUUUCUUACAAGGACUCUAGUUUUAAGGAGAUCAGGAUUGUAUAUGGAAACAGAUCAAUAUGGAGAUAAAGGGAAAGUGACUGGCCCCCCAAAAACAUGCAUUACCUUGUUGCUUUCUGUUACCAAACCAAUCCACUGAUGAAGUAAAGUAAAUCACUUAUUUUUCAGAGAAUAAGAGAAAUUCUCCCUUGACCUCUCUAAGUUUAUUUUUGAAAGCAGUGAGUCAAAGUGGCAAGAUUAUGUUCUUCAAGAAACAAUAUCAGUGUUUCUGGUCUCUACAUAAAAAUGUUAUUAAAAGAAAACAUUCUUAUGGAAAUUUAGUAGGUACAACACAAGAAGGUCCAAUAUUGUAGACUGUAGCCUCUACAGAUAGUCUGGACAACCUUCACAUCAGCUGUUUGGGGCCCACAAAAGAGGCUGCAUUUUGGAGAAGUCCUUCUGAGUACAAGUUUGGAUUAGAGCAAUGAUCAGGUCUGGUCCAAAGGACAGUUUUCCAGCUGCUCCCUAGCCUUGUUGCUGGGGCUAUGGGAACAUGUCACAAGACUGGUCUUUACUUCUGGGCUGGCAUCUCCAGUGGUACAAGAAGCCCGUUUUCUUUUGGAGAUCUCUGACUCGAGUUUUGGCUUAACUUUUAUUAAGAAGCUAUCUGGAUAAAGAGACAUUUACAAGCUGAGAAAGGAGUAUGGGAGGACACACCAAGAAAGUGCCCACCUGCAAGCUAAGGAGAGAGGCCUCAGGAGAAACCAGACCUGAUAUUGUCACCCUGGUGUUGGGCUCAUCAGCCUCCAGAACUGUGAGCAAGUAAGUUUCUUGUUCAUGGUAUCUAGUCUGCGGUAUUUUGUUAUGAUAGCCCCAGCAGACUGAUAUAGGCCAUCUAUGUUUUUGAUCUUUGCAUUAAUUUUAGCAUGCAAUCCCUGGUAGCAAUUUCAGUCCUUAGAACAAGUCAAAAUUUGGGAUUGGACUACUGCUCAUGAUCCAUUUGACUCUGGAUGACUAGGCUCAGUCUAACAUAGGAAUUCCAUGUUCCACUUAGCUUAGCAAUGGGCAUGAUCUAAUCCUAGGAUAAAGUCCAGAAACAAACCAUUCCCCAAAUUCACUGUAAGAUUAGCAGUUUUCUUUGCUCAUGUAU